AUCCAAGGUGAUUCCCUCUCCAAGGGGCCAACUAGUGUCCUUGUCAAGAACGUAGCAACUUGGAAGAGAUCUUGGCAUGUCUGAGGUCUUUGGGGAGCAAGGGCUGCAUAUCUCCUUUCCCUCUCUUUGGUUGCCUACAUGU
ensembl:snoRNA